CCUACGGGAGGCAGCAGUGAGGAAUAUUGGUCAAUGGACGAGAGUCUGAACCAGCCAAGUAGCGUGAAGGAUGACUGCCCUAUGGGUUGUAAACUUCUUUUAUAUGGGAAUAAAAUGUUCCACGUGUGGGAUUUUGUAUGUACCAUAUGAAUAAGGAUCGGCUAACUCCGUGCCAGCAGCCGCGGUAAUACGGAGGAUCCGAGCGUUAUCCGGAUUUAUUGGGUUUAAAGGGAGCGUAGGUGGAUUGUUAAGUCAGUUGUGAAAUUUUGCGGCUCAACCGUAAAAUUGCAGUUGAAACUGGCAGUCUUGAGUACAGUAGAGGUGGGCGGAAUUCGUGGUGUAGCGGUGAAAUGCUUAGAUAUCACGAAGAACUCCGAUUGCGAAGGCAGCUCACUGGACUGCAACUGAUACUGAGGCUCGAAAGUGUGGGUAUCAAACAGGAUUAGAUACCCUUGUAGUC
rnacentral:rRNA from 1 species